AAAUUGAAGAGUUUGAUCAUGGCUCAGAUUGAACGCUGGCGGCAGGCCUAACACAUGCAAGUCGAGCGGUAGCACAGAGAGCUUGCUCUCGGGUGACGAGCGGCGGACGGGUGAGUAAUGUCUGGGAAACUGCCUGAUGGAGGGGGAUAACUACUGGAAACGGUAGCUAAUACCGCAUAAUGUCGCAAGACCAAAGUGGGGGACCUUCGGGCCUCAUGCCAUCAGAUGUGCCCAGAUGGGAUUAGCUAGUAGGUGGGGUAACGGCUCACCUAGGCGACGAUCCCUAGCUGGUCUGAGAGGAUGACCAGCCACACUGGAACUGAGACACGGUCCAGACUCCUACGGGAGGCAGCAGUGGGGAAUAUUGCACAAUGGGCGCAAGCCUGAUGCAGCCAUGCCGCGUGUGUGAAGAAGGCCUUCGGGUUGUAAAGCACUUUCAGCGGGGAGGAAGGCGGUGAGGUUAAUAACCUCAUCGAUUGACGUUACCCGCAGAAGAAGCACCGGCUAACUCCGUGCCAGCAGCCGCGGUAAUACGGAGGGUGCAAGCGUUAAUCGGAAUUACUGGGCGUAAAGCGCACGCAGGCGGUCUGUCAAGUCGGAUGUGAAAUCCCCGGGCUCAACCUGGGAACUGCAUUCGAAACUGGCAGGCUAGAGUCUUGUAGAGGGGGGUAGAAUUCCAGGUGUAGCGGUGAAAUGCGUAGAGAUCUGGAGGAAUACCGGUGGCGAAGGCGGCCCCCUGGACAAAGACUGACGCUCAGGUGCGAAAGCGUGGGGAGCAAACAGGAUUAGAUACCCUGGUAGUCCACGCCGUAAACGAUGUCGAUUUGGAGGUUGUGCCCUUGAGGCGUGGCUUCCGGAGCUAACGCGUUAAAUCGACCGCCUGGGGAGUACGGCCGCAAGGUUAAAACUCAAAUGAAUUGACGGGGGGCCCGCACAAGCGGUGGAGCAUGUGGUUUAAUUCGAUGCAACGCGAAGAACCUUACCUGGUCUUGACAUCCACAGAACUUUCCAGAGAUGGAUUGGUGCCUUCGGGAACUGUGAGACAGGUGCUGCAUGGCUGUCGUCAGCUCGUGUUGUGAAAUGUUGGGUUAAGUCCCGCAACGAGCGCAACCCUUAUCCUUUGUUGCCAGCGGUCCGGCCGGGAACUCAAAGGAGACUGCCAGUGAUAAACUGGAGGAAGGUGGGGAUGACGUCAAGUCAUCAUGGCCCUUACGACCAGGGCUACACACGUGCUACAAUGGCAUAUACAAAGAGAAGCGACCUCGCGAGAGCAAGCGGACCUCAUAAAGUAUGUCGUAGUCCGGAUUGGAGUCUGCAACUCGACUCCAUGAAGUCGGAAUCGCUAGUAAUCGUAGAUCAGAAUGCUACGGUGAAUACGUUCCCGGGCCUUGUACACACCGCCCGUCACACCAUGGGAGUGGGUUGCAAAAGAAGUAGGUAGCUUAACCUUCGGGAGGGCGCUUACCACUUUGUGAUUCAUGACUGGGGUGAAGUCGUAACAAGGUAACCGUAGGGGAACCUGCGGUUGGAUCACCUCCUUACCUUAAAGAA
rnacentral:rRNA from 1 species